rnacentral:miRNA from 2 species
CGUUCUUCACUGGCUAGCUUUA